UGUUUGCUAAGUCAAUUUAUAACAUCACAAAACUGUCAAGAACAGGGCAAAAAAAGUCCUAUAUUACACAGUCAGCACACACGUUGUAAAACAAAGUGCACCCUCUGUUAGUUCUGGGGUUAUAUUUUGUAAAUAUAACCCUCUUUACUGGUUUGUGAAAUUAUUUUUAAUUUUGCCUUAGAGGUAGAAAUACACACAUCGGAGAUUGUGCCAGUUCAUUGAUUCAAUAAACAAAUUGGAAGAAAAGCCUUGACUACAUGAUUUCUACCUGAUUUGCACUUGUAUCUGUUAUGUACAUCUGUAGCUAAAUGCAGACAUUGUCCCGUUGGCUGGUAUUUUGGAUUACAAAAUGUAAAGUUUCCUAAAGGUAUCAUCUUUGGUCAUGUUGUUAUGUGCAAACGUUGCUAGGAAACGCGCUUUACUUAUGGUUUUCUGCAGCAUUUGGAAAUCCUCCUAAACGUGAUCCGACAGUCGCACUAUGACCAAAUCGGUCUGAAAUAAUCUUUUGUCCUGCAUUUAAACCAUGAAA